rnacentral:rRNA from 1 species
GAUGAACGCUAGCGGCAGGCAUAAUACAUGCAAGGCGAAGGGGCAGCAAUGUCACUGUCGUACGGGUGCGUAACGCGUAUGCAACCUACCUAUCACUGGGGGAUAGCCCGGGGAAACCCGGAUUAAUACCGCAUAAAACAGGGGCACCGCAUGGUGAUAUUUGUUAAAGAUUUAUUGGUGAUAGAUGGGCAUGCGUUCGAUUAGCUAGUUGGCGGGGUAACGGCCCACCAAGGCGACGAUCGAUAGGGGAGCUGAGAGUUUGGUCCCCCACAAGGGCACGCGAAGCCGGGCCGGACUCCUCCGGGAGGCAGCAGUAUGGAAUAUUGGGCAAUGGAUGCAAGUCUGGCCCAGCCAUGCCGCGUGCCGGAUGAAGGCCCUCAGGGUUGUAAACGGCUUUUAUUCGGGAAGAAGAGCAGGGAUGCGUCCUUGUGUGACGGUACCGAAUGAAUAAGCACCGGCUAACUCCGUGCCAGCAGCCGCAGUAAUAC